rnacentral:rRNA from 2 species
CGCGUGAGUNAGANGGGUUUCGGCUCGUAAANUCUGUUGUUAAAGAGAACAUAUCUGAGAGUAACUGUUCAGGUAUGACGGUAUUUAACCCAGAAAGGCCACGGCUAACUACGUGCCAGCAGCCGCGGUAAUACGUAGGUGGCAAGCGUUGUCCGGAUUUAUUGGGCGUAAAGCGAGCGCAGGCGGUUUUUUAAGUCUGAUGUGAAAGCCUUCGGCUCAACCGAAGAAGUGCAUCGGAAACUGGGAAACUUGAGUGCAGAAGAGGACAGUGGAACUCCAUGUGUAGCGGUGAAAUGCGUAGAUAUAUGGAAGAACACCAGUGGCGAAGGCGGCUGUCUGGUCUGUAACUGACGCUGAGGCUCGAAAGUAUGGGUAGCAAACAGGAUUAGAUACCCUGGUAGUCCAUACCGUAAACGAUGAAUGCUAAGUGUUGGAGGGUUUCCGCCCUUCAGUGCUGCAGCUAACGCAUUAAGCAUUCCGCCUGGGGAGUACGGCCGCAAGGCUGAAACUCAAAGGAAUUGACGGGGGCCCGCACAAGCGGUGGAGCAUGUGGUUUAAUUCGAAGCUACGCGAAGAACCUUACCAGGUCUUGACAUACUAUGCAAAUCUAAGAGAUUAGACGUUCCCUUCGGGGACAUGGAUACAGGUGGUGCAUGGUUGUCGUCAGCUCGUGUCGUGAGAUGUUGGGUUAAGUCCCGCAACGAGCGCAACCCUUAUUAUCAGUUGCCAGCAUUAAGUUGGGCACUCUGGUGAGACUGCCGGUGACAAACCGGAGGAAGGUGGGGAUGACGUCAAAUCAUCAUGCCCCUUAUGACCUGGGCUACACACGUGCUACAAUGGAUGGUACAACGAGUUGCGAACUCGCGAGAGUAAGCUAAUCUCUUAAAGCCAUUCUCAGUUCGGAUUGUAGGCUGCAACUCGCCUACAUGAAGUCGGAAUCGCUAGUAAUCGCGGAUCAGCAUGCCGCGGUGAAUACGUUCCCGGGCCUUGUACACACCGCCCGUCACACCAUGAGAGUUUGUAACACCCAAAGUCGGUGGGGUAACCUNUAGGAACCAANUNCCUCNCGC